ensembl:snRNA U6 U6 spliceosomal RNA
GUGCUCGCUUGGGCAGCACACAUGCUAAAAAACUGUAAUUAUACAGAGAAGAUUAGUGUGGCCCCCACACAAGGAUGACAUGCAAAAAGAUAUCUAUUUAGAAAUGGUU